GCCCGGUUAGCUCAGUUUGGUAGAGCGUGAGACUUUUAAGGUUGCGAUGGCCGUGAAAGACAUCUUAAGGUCGUGGGUUCGACCCCCACAUCGGGCG